UGGGUGUGCUCGCAACCCUGGGUUUCUGCAGGCCUCACAGGAGAGCCCAGGUUGGCUGGAUAAUGCCGAAGUGGGCUUUCAGCCCUUCAGAGGACACAUUUCAUGUUGGUCCUCCUGACUUCAGACAGCGUUCUCUUCCUAACUGGCCACUGCUGCGUGUCCGGCUCCUGGCCUGUGUGCAGCAUCGUAAUCCACAGCAGGAGAAGUCCCAGGGGCAGGUGAGGGCAGGGCAUGUCACAGGGCAGAUGUGGGGUGAGCGACCGGGCGCUGGGUUGGAGAGCAGAGCCGUGUCAUCCCGAGAGCCUGUGCCUGGUAUCAGCAGGAAGCAUCACAAAAAGCACAUUCAAUUCACUGCCUGCUAUGGAGCUAACAGCCCUGUGUCACGAACAGCCUGUCCUGAAGCUGUGGGUCAUCCCAGUGCAAUGCUCACCCCUCGAAGGGGCUGCACUCUGACCGGCUGGGCAAAUCUGCUGCAGGCAUCCCUUGCUGCAAUGGACAUCCCUUGCUGCUGUGGUUAUCCUUCAUUGCUAUGGUCACCCCUUGCUGCUGUGGACCCCCCUCACUGCUGCCCCAACCCUGGGGGAACCUGGGGACACCCUGGCCCUGCAUCCUCACAUCUGGUGGCUGCGUGUCCCCUGCCACAUCCCUGCCCACUCUUCCUGCUGCACUGCGCAGUGUGGCUCUGGGCUCUACUGCAGCUUUCUGCUUCACCGAAGAAGAACUGUUCUCUCAGCUCAUGAUUUGUUCCCAAGCCUCGUUUUUACAUGAUGCAAUUUAACACAGAGCAAGGACACGAAGUACCUGUUGGCUUGGAGCCCACUCUAAAAGCCGUAAAAAGGAGAUAAAAGCCUUUAAAUGCUAAGCCUGUCCGAGGAGACAAUAAAAGGCAAAUGUCUUCCCAGUUUUAUGUCUAUGCCUUUUACUUGAUUUAUGGAGAUUUUGCCAUAUUCCUUCAUGGUUUGUGACUUUUCAAGCAGUUUGACUGUCGUAAAAGGACCAUAGAAGCAAACUGCACC
rnacentral:lncRNA from 1 species